GUGGGGAAUUUUGGACAAUGGGCGCAAGCCUGAUCCAGCAAUGCCGCGUGCAGGAAGAAGGCCUUCGGGUUGUAAACUGCUUUUGUAUGGAACGAAACGGUCCGGGUUAAUACCCUGGGCUAAUGACGGUACCGUAAGAAUAAGCACCGGCUAACUACGUGCCAGCAGCCGCGGUAAUACGUAGGGUGCGAGCGUUAAUCGGAAUUACUAGGCGUAAAGCGUGCGCAGGCGGUGCUGUAAGACAGGCGUGAAAUCCCCGGGCUCAACCUGGGAAUUGCGCUUGUGACUGCAGUGCUGGAGUGCGGCAGAGGGGGAUGGAAUUCCGCGUGUAGCAGUGAAAUGCGUAGAUAUGCGGAGGAACACCGAUGGCGAAGGCAAUCCCCUGGGCCUGCACUGACGCUCAUGCACGAAAGCGUGGGGAGCAAACAGGAUUAGAUACCCGUGUAGUCC
rnacentral:rRNA from 1 species